GCAGGUAAGAAGCUCAGGCCUGCAGGUGAGCCAGUGUCCCAUAAGACUCACUCCCCUUGGCUUUUCCCCAUUCGGUAAGCAGGUAAGAAGCUCAGGCCUGCAGGUGAGUGAAGGGGCUGCUAGACCUCCUCCGUCCAGCUGGGGGAAACGUUUUAGCUACUUUUCAGUCUUUUUCUU